CGAGUGAAGCGGCAACAGCUCAAAUUUGAAAUCUGGCCCUCUUUGGGGGUCCGAGUUGUAAUUUGUAGAGGAUGCUUUGGCAUUGGCGGCGGUCUAAGUUCCUUGGAACAGGACAUCACAGAGGGUGAGAAUCCCGUACGUGGUCGCCUGCCUUUGCCGUGUAAAGCUCCUUCGACGAGUCGAGUUGUUUGGGAAUGCAGCUCUAAAUGGGAGGUAAAUUUCUUCUAAAGCUAAAUACCGGCCAGAGACCGAUAGCGCACAAGUAGAGUGAUCGAAAGAUGAAAAGUACUUUGGAAAGAGAGUCAAAAAGCACGUGAAAUUGUUGAAAGGGAAGCGCUUGCAGCCAGACUUGCCCGCAGUUGCUCACCUAGGCUUUGGCCUGGGGCACUCUUCUGUGGGCAGGCCAGCAUCAGUUUGGGCGGUUGGAUAAAGGCCUCUGUCACGUAUCUCCCUUCGGGGUGACCUUAUAGGGGAGGCGCAAUGCAACCAGCCCGGACUGAGGUCCGCGCAUCUGCUAGGAUGCUGGCGUAAUGGCUGUAAGCGGCCCGUCUUGAAACACGGACCAAGGAGUCUAACAUCUAUGCGAGUGUUUGGGUGUCAAGCCCGGGCGCGCAAUGAAAGUGAACGGAGGUGGGAACCCUUUGGGUGCACCAUCGACCGAUCCUGAUGUCUUCGGAUGGAUUUGAGUAAGAGCAUAGCUGUUGGGACCCGAAAGAUGGUGAACUAUGCUUGAAUAGGGUGAAGCCAGAGGAAACUCUGGUGGAGGCUCGCAGCGGUUCUGACGUGCA
rnacentral:rRNA from 1 species